rnacentral:rRNA from 1 species
GAUAUCCCGUAAAGAGCGAAUCUGUCCUAAUUACAGCACGUUAUGGUGGGACUUAAGGAGACGCCGGUGAAUCCGGAGGAUGGGGGAGACGUCAGUCUCUGGCCCUACGGCCGGCUAACACGUCUAAAUGGUGGUAAGAGGGUCGCCAAGCCGCGAGGUGGAGCUAAUCUCACAAACGAUCGUAGUCCGGAUCGCAGUUGCAACUCGACUGCGUGAAGUCGGAAUCGCUAGUAAUCGCGAAUCAGAAUGUCGCGGUGAAUACGUUCCCGGGCCUUGA